AUGUGGACCUGUCUUCGUCAGCGCUAUGAGCCCUCUGGUGAUGCCUUAUACCUUUCUGUGGUUCGUCAGGAGCAUGCUCUUCAGCAGGGUGACUCUACUGUUGAUGACUUUUAUGCACAGAGUUCUGCUAUCUGGCGCCAGCUUGAUUCUCUCCGCAGUGCUGGUUGUCGUACUUGCCCCUGCUGCCAGGCUGUCCAGGCCGAUUUGGAGUUUCAUCGCGUCUACGAGUUCCUGUCUCGGCUCCGUAAGGAGUUUGAGCCCCGGCGUGCUCAGUUGCUUGCUCGUGGCCGUAUUUCUCUCAUGGAGGCGCUUUCAGAGAUUCGUGCUGAGGAGACUCGCCUACGUGGUGCUGGUUUGCUGGAGGUUCCCUCUGUGCUCGCUACUCGGGUUUCUUCCACUCCACCUGCUGCACUGCCCCAUUCUCGCUCGAGUGCUCCGCCGCUCUUGCCCACUCCUUCUGGAGGCUCAGGUCGCCCCCGUUCACAUUGUGACUACUGCAACAAUGAUGGUCAUAUUGAGUCCCAGUGCUACACAAAGCGGAAACACCUGCGCAAGGCGCGAUCAUCCUCCUCAGGGACUUCGUCAUCUCCCUCGCCAGCUUCAGCCAUUGCUUUGACUGAGCAGGAAGUAUUCGUCUUGAAGAGAUUGAUAGCACGAAGCAGAUUUGGCAAAAGAUAUUAUUGUAAUUCUUAG
rnacentral:rRNA from 1 species